AUGCACGCUGGCGGCGUGCCUAAUACAUGCAAGUCGAGCGAACAGAUGAGGAGCUUGCUCCUCUGACGUUAGCGGCGGACGGGUGAGUAACACGUGGAUAACCUACCUAUAAGACUGGGAUAACUUCGGGAAACCGGAGCUAAUACCGGAUAAUAUAUUGAACCGCAUGGUUCAAUAGUGAAAGACGGUUUUGCUGUCACUUAUAGAUGGAUCCGCGCCGCAUUAGCUAGUUGGUAAGGUAACGGCUUACCAAGGCAACGAUGUGUAGCCGACCUGAGAGGGUGAUCGGCCACACUGGAACUGAGACACGGUCCAGACUCCUACGGGAGGCAGCAGUAGGGAAUCUUCCGCAAUGGGCGAAAGCCUGACGGAGCAACGCCGCGUGAGUGAUGAAGGUCUUCGGAUCGUAAAACUCUGUUAUUAGGGAAGAACAAAUGUGUAAGUAACUAUGCACGUCUUGACGGUACCUAAUCAGAAAGCCACGGCUAACUACGUG
rnacentral:rRNA from 1 species